rnacentral:rRNA from 1 species
AAGGCGUGCGAUACAGGGUGACAGCCCCGUACACAAAAAUGCACAUAUUGUGAGCUCGAUGAGUAGGGCGGGACACGUGGUAUCCUGUCUGAAUAUGGGGGGACCAUCCUCCAAGGCUAAAUACUCCUGACUGACCGAUAGUGAACCAGUACCGUGAGGGAAAGGCGAAAAGAACCCCGGCGAGGGGAGUGAAAAAGAACCUGAAACCGUGUACGUACAAGCAGUGGGAGCCUCUUAAUGGGGUGACUGCGUACCUUUUGUAUAAUGGGUCAGCGACUUAUAUUCUGUAGCAAGGUUAACCGAAUAGGGGAGCCGAAGGGAAACCGAGUCUUAACUGGGCGUUAAGUUGCAGGGUAUAGACCCGAAACCCGGUGAUCUAGCCAUGGGCAGGUUGAAGGUUGGGUAACACUAACUGGAGGACCGAACCGACUAAUGUUGAAAAAUUAGCGGAUGACUUGUGGCUGGGGGUGAAAGGCCAAUCAAACCGGGAGAUAGCUGGUUCUCCCCGAAAGCUAUUUAGGUAGCGCCUCGUGAAUUCAUCUCCGGGGGUAGAGCACUGUUUCGGCAAGGGGGUCAUCCCGACUUACCAACCCGAUGCAAACUGCGAAUACCGGAGAAUGUUAUCACGGGAGACACACGGCGGGUGCUAACGUCCGUCGUGAAGAGGGAAACAACCCAGACCGCCAGCUAAGGUCCCAAAGUCAUGGUUAAGUGGGAAACGAUGUGGGAAGGCCCAGACAGCCAGGAUGUUGGCUUAGAAGCAGCCAUCAUUUAAAGAAAGCGUAAUAGCUCACUGGUCGAGUCGGCCUGCGCGGAAGAUGUAACGGGGCUAAACCAUGCACCGAAGCUGCGGCAGCGACACUAUGUGUUGUUGGGUAGGGGAGCGUUCUGUAAGCCUGUGAAGGUGGCCUGUGAGGGUUGCUGGAGGUAUCAGAAGUGCGAAUGCUGACAUAAGUAACGAUAAAGCGGGUGAAAAGCCCGCUCGCCGGAAGACCAAGGGUUCCUGUCCAACGUUAAUCGGGGCAGGGUGAGUCGACCCCUAAGGCGAGGCCGAAAGGCGUAGUCGAUGGGAAACAGGUUAAUAUUCCUGUACUUGGUGUUACUGCGAAGGGGGGACGGAGAAGGCUAUGUUGGCCGGGCGACGGUUGUCCCGGUUUAAGCGUGUAGGCUGGUUUUCCAGGCAAAUCCGGAAAACCAAGGCUGAGGCGUGAUGACGAAGCACUACGGUGCUGAAGCGACAAAUGCCCUGCUUCCAGGAAAAGCCUCUAAGCAUCAGGUAACAUCAAAUCGUACCCCAAACCGACACAGGUGGUCAGGUAGAGAAUACCAAGGCGCUUGAGAGAACUCGGGUGAAGGAACUAGGCAAAAUGGUGCCGUAACUUCGGGAGAAGGCACGCUGAUAUGUAGGUGAAGCGACUUGCUCGUGGAGCUGAAAUCAGUCGAAGAUACCAGCUGGCUGCAACUGUUUAUUAAAAACACAGCACUGUGCAAACACGAAAGUGGACGUAUACGGUGUGACGCCUGCCCGGUGCCGGAAGGUUAAUUGAUGGGGUUAGCGGUAACGCGAAGCUCUUGAUCGAAGCCCCGGUAAACGGCGGCCGUAACUAUAACGGUCCUAAGGUAGCGAAAUUCCUUGUCGGGUAAGUUCCGACCUGCACGAAUGGCGUAAUGAUGGCCAGGCUGUCUCCACCCGAGACUCAGUGAAAUUGAACUCGCUGUGAAGAUGCAGUGUACCCGCGGCAAGACGGAAAGACCCCGUGAACCUUUACUAUAGCUUGACACUGAACAUUGAGCCUUGAUGUGUAGGAUAGGUGGGAGGCUUUGAAGUGUGGACGCCAGUCUGCAUGGAGCCGACCUUGAAAUACCACCCUUUAAUGUUUGAUGUUCUAACGUUGGCCCGUAAUCCGGGUUGCGGACAGUGUCUGGUGGGUAGUUUGACUGGGGCGGUCUCCUCCUAAAGAGUAACGGAGGAGCACGAAGGUUGGCUAAUCCUGGUCGGACAUCAGGAGGUUAGUGCAAUGGCAUAAGCCAGCUUGACUGCGAGCGUGACGGCGCGAGCAGGUGCGAAAGCAGGUCAUAGUGAUCCGGUGGUUCUGAAUGGAAGGGCCAUCGCUCAACGGAUAAAAGGUACUCCGGGGAUAACAGGCUGAUACCGCCCAAGAGUUCAUAUCGACGGCGGUGUUUGGCACCUCGAUGUCGGCUCAUCACAUCCUGGGGCUGAAGUAGGUCCCAAGGGUAUGGCUGUUCGCCAUUUAAAGUGGUACGCGAGCUGGGUUUAGAACGUCGUGAGACAGUUCGGUCCCUAUCUGCCGUGGGCGCUGGAGAACUGAGGGGGGCUGCUCCUAGUACGAGAGGACCGGAGUGGACGCAUCACUGGUGUUCGGGUUGUCAUGCCAAUGGCACUGCCCGGUAGCUAAAUGCGGAAGAGAUAAGUGCUGAAAGCAUCUAAGCACGAAACUUGCCCCGAGAUGAGUUCUCCCUGAGACUUAGAGUCUCCUGAAGGAACGUUGAAGACGACGACGUUGAUAGGCCGGGUGUGUAAGCGCAGCGAUGCGUUGAGCUAACCGGUACUAAUGAACCGUGAGGCUUAACCUU